ensembl:lncRNA
GAAAGAAUUGCUUCAAAUUUAAGUUUUACUGAAAGCAUGCAGUUAAUCUGUGAACUGUUGUCAUGAUGAUGCUUUUCUCGGGACCAUAUCCACAAAAGCCAUGAGCAAGUUGAUAAAUCCAGCUCUGGAAAAUUCUCACUGAAGCAAAAGCCAAACUGAUAGAGAGAACAGCAACGUGACCAAUAUUGGACCAGAGGGCUUCCUGUGGAAUGUAAAAAGCCAUGGAUAUUUUGGUGAUUUUCUUCUCUGAAAAAUGAAGAGAUAAGGAAAAGAGAAGCAAGGAACAAAGAAUAACAAACACAAGAGAAUACUGAGAAGAAGUUUGGUGAGGGGAUUUCAGGGCCUGCUUCUUUUUUUCUUUCCCAGAAACAAAACUCUCUGCAACAAAGAUAGCUCAAUCAAUUUUUAUUUUAUCUUAGUGUAAAUUUUUAUGGAGACCAAACAGUGGACGUGAGGCUGUGGGUGGUGUAUUUCAGCAGUGGUGACAGUGAUGUGAAAGACACGCCGUAUUCUGGAUGGCCAUUCAGAUGUUUAUGAGCAUGGUAUUCAGGCUCUUGUUCAUCACUGGUAAAAGGGCACAGCUUAUUGUGAAUUGCACUUCUCUGCAGAAGUAAAUACACAUGGGUUUUGGGAAGAGAAUCAAGAUCUCUCAUACAUUAGGCAACUGCCAUAACUGCUAAUCUUGGUCUCCUGUGAUAUACAAGAAGUCUAACAUGGCCAUACCAGAAGCUCUUUGCCAUUCGGAGGGAAUCAGCAAAUGAAAGAAGUCUGGGACUGGACUGGUAGAUUAGCUGUUAAUUUGCAACUCCUUUUCUUAGACUUGCCUCUGCACGGGGACACUUAUACCUCAGUAGAAUUCAUUCUUUUCUAAUCACUUCAUAUCUAUCAGAAGCAAAGAAGGAUCAGAAACUAAAGGCUGCUAUCCCUUUUAUAUUAUUAUUCAUGAGUUGUGAGUCUAACUUACCAAAUUCAAGGCCUUGUUUUUAUAGGGAACAACCUCUGUACAUUUUUUCAAGGUCAGAUCUAUUUGGGUCUUUUGGUUAAACUCAUAUCAUCUGUUAGUAUAUUUGUG